CCUACGGGUGGCUGCAGUGAGGAAUAUUGGUCAAUGGCCGUAAGGCUGAACCAGCCAAGUAGCGUGAGGGAAGACUGCCCUAUGGGUUGUAAACCUCUUUUAUGCGGGGAUAAAGGUGGCCACGUGUGGCUGUUUGCAGGUACCGCAUGAAUAAGGACCGGCUAAUCACGGUCCCGCCGCCGCGGUAAUACGGAAGGUCCGGGCGUUAUCCGGAUUUAUUGGGUUUAAAGGGAGCGUAGGCCGGUCUUUAAGCGUGCCGUGAAAUUUUGUGGCGCAACCAUGAGAGUGCGGCGCGAACUGGAGACCUUGAGUGCGCGGGAGGCAGGCGGAAUUCGUGGUGUAGCGGUGAAAUGCUUAGAUAUCACGAAGAACCCCGAUUGCGAAGGCAGCCUGCCGCAGCGUUACUGACGCUGAAGCUCGAAAGCGCGGGGAUCGAACAGGAUUAGAUACCCCUGUAGUC
rnacentral:rRNA from 1 species